rnacentral:lncRNA from 1 species
GGGCUAGUGGACUGAGUUUUCUAUAUGGGUCGGAUAAGGUUGCUUAAGCUUAGGUUGACCAUGGUUUAGGCUUGGGUUGGCUACGGCUUGGGCUAGGUUGGCUACAAGUUGGGCUUGAGUUUCUAGGCUUCGGGGUGGCUUGGACCGGCUGUAGCUAGGCUUGGUUGGCUAUGGGUUGAAUCGGUUCCCUCACUUUUCGCACCGCGCCGUCCCUUCCCUCCGUUGCCCGCUUCCUCCACACCCUCGCCUUCAAAAACCCGUUAUAGCCCUCAUCUACAGCC